rnacentral:rRNA from 1 species
AUUGAACGCUGGCGGCAGGCCUAACACAUGCAAGUCGAGCGGUAGCACAGAGAGCUUGCUCUCGGGUGACGAGCGGCGGACGGGUGAGUAAUGUCUGGGAAACUGCCUGAUGGAGGGGGAUAACUACUGGAAACGGUAGCUAAUACCGCAUAACGUCGCAAGACCAAAGUGGGGGACCUUCGGGCCUCAUGCCAUCAGAUGUGCCCAGAUGGGAUUAGCUAGUAGGUGGGGUAACGGCUCACCUAGGCGACGAUCCCUAGCUGGUCUGAGAGGAUGACCAGCCACACUGGAACUGAGACACGGUCCAGACUCCUACGGGAGGCAGCAGUGGGGAAUAUUGCACAAUGGGCGCAAGCCUGAUGCAGCCAUGCCGCGUGUGUGAAGAAGGCCUUCGGGUUGUAAAGCACUUUCAGCGGGGAGGAAGGCGUUAAGGUUAAUAACCUUGGCGAUUGACGUUACCCGCAGAAGAAGCACCGGCUAACUCCGUGCCAGCAGCCGCGGUAAUACGGAGGGUGCAAGCGUUAAUCGGAAUUACUGGGCGUAAAGCGCACGCAGGCGGUCUGUCAAGUCGGAUGUGAAAUCCCCGGGCUCAACCUGGGAACUGCAUUCGAAACUGGCAGGCUAGAGUCUUGUAGAGGGGGGUAGAAUUCCAGGUGUAGCGGUGAAAUGCGUAGAGAUCUGGAGGAAUACCGGUGGCGAAGGCGGCCCCCUGGACAAAGACUGACGCUCAGGUGCGAAAGCGUGGGGAGCAAACAGGAUUAGAUACCCUGGUAGUCCACGCCGUAAACGAUGUCGAUUUGGAGGUUGUGCCCUUGAGGCGUGGCUUCCGGAGCUAACGCGUUAAAUCGACCGCCUGGGGAGUACGGCCGCAAGGUUAAAACUCAAAUGAAUUGACGGGGGCCCGCACAAGCGGUGGAGCAUGUGGUUUAAUUCGAUGCAACGCGAAGAACCUUACCUGGUCUUGACAUCCACAGAACUUAGCAGAGAUGCUUUGGUGCCUUCGGGAACUGUGAGACAGGUGCUGCAUGGCUGUCGUCAGCUCGUGUUGUGAAAUGUUGGGUUAAGUCCCGCAACGAGCGCAACCCUUAUCCUUUGUUGCCAGCGGUUAGGCCGGGAACUCAAAGGAGACUGCCAGUGAUAAACUGGAGGAAGGUGGGGAUGACGUCAAGUCAUCAUGGCCCUUACGACCAGGGCUACACACGUGCUACAAUGGCAUAUACAAAGAGAAGCGACCUCGCGAGAGCAAGCGGACCUCAUAAAGUAUGUCGUAGUCCGGAUUGGAGUCUGCAACUCGACUCCAUGAAGUCGGAAUCGCUAGUAAUCGUAGAUCAGAAUGCUACGGUGAAUACGUUCCCGGGCCU